AAUGUAUGGUGUAGCGGUGAAAUGCUUAGAGAUCAUACAGAACACCGAUUGCGAAGGCAGCUUACCAAACUAUAUCUGACGUUGAGGCACGAAAGCGUGGGGAGCAAACAGGAUUAGAUACCCUGGUAGUCCACGCAGUAAACGAUGAUAACUCGUUGUCGGCGAUACACAGUCGGUGACUAAGCGAAAGCGAUAAGUUAUCCACCUGGGGAGUACGUUCGCAAGAAUGAAACUCAAAGGAAUUGACGGGGGCCCGCACAAGCGGAGGAACAUGUGGUUUAAUUCGAUGAUACGCGAGGAACCUUACCCGGGCUUGAAAGUUACUGACGAUUCUGGAAACAGGAUUUCCCUUCGGGGCAGGAAACUAGGUGCUGCAUGGUUGUCGUCAGCUCGUGCCGUGAGGUGUCGGGUUAAGUCCCAUAACGAGCGCAACCCCUACCGUUAGUUGCCAUCAGGUCAAGCUGGGCACUCUGGCGGGACUGCCGGUGUAAGCCGAGAGGAAGGUGGGGAUGAUGUCAAAUCAGCACGGCCCUUACGUCCGGGGCUACACACGUGUUACAAUGGUAGGUACAGAGGGUCGCUACCCCGUGAGGGGAUGCCAAUCUCGAAAGCCUAUCUCAGUUCGGAUUGGAGGCUGAAACCCGCCUCCAUGAAGUUGGAUUCGCUAGUAAUCGCGCAUCAGCCAUGGCGCGGUGAAUACGUUCCCGGGCCUUGUACACACCGCCCGUCAAGCCAUGGAAGCUGGGGGUGCCUGAAGUUCGUGACCGCAAGGAGCGACCUAGGGCAAAACCGGUAACUGGGGCUAAGUCGUAACAAGGUAGCCGUACCGGAAGGUGCGGCUG
rnacentral:rRNA from 1 species